UGAUACCAUGGCAACAGAUGAGAAUAUUUGAAACUCAGGGUUGAACUGUGAGAUUCUUGGUGCUGUCUAAGCUUGGUUGUUUUCAUGCAGGCAGGCAGGUGAGCCCACCUGCGAUUUCGACUACCGGUUUGGGCGAACCAAUCUGAACCUACUGAAUACCACCUCUGGUUCUGAUUUGUCUGAGUGCCAAGUUUCCAGGAAUUCUCUACAAUUUUUGGCCUUGGCUUGAUUUAGAAUACUCUGUUUCACAGUUGAACCUUUGGUUAAGUCUGUUCACAUUUUGUGAAAUUAAGGAGUAAGAAUGCAAACUAAAUCAAUCUUUUUUCCCCAUUAUUUAGUUAUUUUAGAAUAUGUCAAGUAAAAGAGAAAAACCUGCUGUGUGUUAAUAGCUUGCUUUGAAAAAAGUUGGUUUAGAUAAUUUUCUUUAUAGGGGAAGAGGAUGUCUUUGAGUGUUUUAAGGUGAUUCAAGAACUGGAAAACAUGAGGAAGUAUAAUGAUUUUAAAAAGCCUGGAGAACAUACAUGAAGAAACCAAGGAUCUCAGUUGAACUUGAUUUGUGGAAACAAGUGUUGGUUACAAGACCUGCUACCAAAUACAAUCAAACAGGGAAUUCCAUGGCCAGAACAUUUGUUCCAAGAAUUCUAUCACUGGAACUCAGAUUGUUAUGCAGAAAUGGACACCAGCUUCCAGCCUGAUAUUUCAGUUGUGAAAAGAUAUUAUGCAUUGCAUCAUAUAUUGUAUUUACAUUCUCCUGUUGAAAAAAAAAGUAUUUCUUUGUUUAGACAUUUUAGAAAGUACAAGCUGUAAAAUUAUAGGUGGCAGGUCUAGAAAAAAAAAACAUGUAUCUGACUUUCAAUUUAAAAUUAACACUGAAUUAUGUUCUUA